AACGAACGCUGGCGGCAGGCCUAACACAUGCAAGUCGAGCGCCCCGCAAGGGGAGCGGUGGACGGGUGAGUAACGCGUGGGAAUAUGCCCUUUGCUACGGAAUAGUCUCGGGAAACUGGGGGUAAUACCGUAUACGCCCUUUGGGGGAAAGAUUUAUCGGCGAAGGAUUAGCCCGCGUUGGAUUAGGUAGUUGGUGGGGUAAUGGCCUACCAAGCCGACGAUCCAUAGCUGGUUUGAGAGGAUGACCAGACACACUGGGGCUGGGACACGGCCCAGACUCCUACGGGAGGCAGCAGUGGGGAAUCCUAGAGAAUGGGGGCAAGCCUGAUCUAGCCAUGCCGCGUGAGUGAUGAAGGCGUUAGGGUUGUAAAGCUCUUUCAGCUGGGAAGAUAAUGACGGUACCAGCAGAAGAAGCCCCGGCUAACUCCGUG
rnacentral:rRNA from 1 species